rnacentral:rRNA from 1 species
UACGUAGGGUGCGAGCGUUAAUCGGAAUAACUGGGCGUAAAGGGUACGCAGGCGGACUUGUAAGUGAGGAGUGAAAUCCCCGUGCUUAACCUGGGAAUUGCAUUUCAUACUGGGAGUCUAGAGUAAUUUAGGGAGGGGUAGAAUUCCACGUGUAGCGGUGAAAUGCGUAGAGAUGUGGAGGAAUACCGAAGGCGAAGGCAGC